CCUACGGGCGGCAGCAGUGAGGAAUAUUGGUCAAUGGACGAGAGUCUGAACCAGCCAAGUAGCGUGAAGGAUGACUGCCCUAUGGGUUGUAAACUUCUUUUAUAUGGGAAUAAAAUGUUCCCCGUGUGGGAUUUUGUAUGUACCAUAUGAAUAAGGAUCGGAUAACUCCGUGCCAGCAGCCGCGGUACUACGGAGGAUCCGAGCGUUAUCCGGAUUUAUUGGGUUUAAAGGGAGCGUAGGUGGAUUGUUAAGUCAGUUGUGAAAGUUUGCGGCUCAACCGUAAAAUUGCAGUUGAAACUGGCAGUCUUGAGUACAGUAGAGGUGGGCGGAAUUCGUGGUGUAGCGGUGAAAGGCUUAGAUAGCACGAAGAACUCCGAUUGCGAAGGCAGCUCACUGGACUGCAACUGACACUGAGGCUCGAAAGUGUGGGUAUCAAACAGGAUUAGAUACCCCAGUAGUC
rnacentral:rRNA from 1 species